rnacentral:rRNA from 1 species
CCUACGGGAGGCAGCAGUGGGGAAUAUUGCACAAUGGGGGAAACCCUGAUGCAGCGACGCCGCGUGAGUGAAGAAGUAAUUCGUUAUGUAAAGCUCUAUCAGCAGGGAAGAAAAUGACGGUACCUGAGUAAGAAGCCCCGGCUAACUACGUGCCAGCCGCGGGAAUACGUAGGGGGCGAGCGUUAUCCGGAUUUACUGGGUGUAAAGGGAGCGUAGACGGGAGUGCAAGUAUGGGGUGAAAGGCGGGGGCGCAACCCCCGGACUGCUCUGGAAACUGUACGGCUGGAGUGCAGGAGAGGUAAGUGGAAUUCCUAGUGUAGCGGUGAAAUGCGUAGAUAUUAGGAGGAACACCAGUGGCGAAGGCGGCUUACUGGACUGUAACUGACGUUGAGGCUCGAAAGCGUGGGGAGCAAACAGGAUUAGAUACCCCAGUAGUC